GACUGUUAGACCAACGAUGAAAGAAGGCCAUUUGAUGCCAAUACCAACCCCUAAGUUGCUCCCUUGAUCAAAUCCUUUAGAACCGUCGGGGGUUAGAGACGGAGGGCUGGCAGGGAUUGAGGAUGACAACAGGAUGAAGGUGAAUCCAACUCUACUGUUUGAUCUUCUCAUCAAGAGCAGUGGGGGGGGGGAUAGAGACAGAUGUAUGGCAGGGAGAGGGAUGAAAACAGGAUGAAGGCUGUAUUUACUGCCUGAUCAAUCUACAGUGGGGGACAGAUACCGGGCUCUGGCCAGGUAAGGGAGGCGAGGGCAGGGCGGACAUGUCCUCAAUAGGAGUUUGGGGUCAGGGACCGGGUUCUGGCAGGGAGGACGGUGAAAACAGAACGAGGUGAAACCCUACUUUAACCGUGUAGCGAUUCAUUCAUUCUUCUUCACUGUGUACGUGCAUCGUUUCAGCUCCAUACAUCUUGUCUCAUUAACUCCCUCCUUUCAUCCCUCUCUCUCCGUUGCUCCGCCCACCCACAGUGGUGCCCAACGGCUGCCGCUCACAGACCCUGGGCGCCGGGCACAGACGGAGUCGUGUUGUCGAUCUUUCAACGGUCUAAUUAGAAAGGACCGUUUAGGCCGUUGGGUUAUGGCGAAACGUGAAUGAGGUUAUCGCGUCAAUGGACAGAACCCGUUUGUAAACCAGAAAAUGCCUUAGGAAAGCAGGGGGGGGAUUACAACAGCCACCCAAGCUAUGGACUGUUCAGGUUUCUGCAGUCUGGAAGGUGUUAAUGGGGCAGUCUAACAGACUCACAAUCCGGUUUUUUUCCCACAGGCCUUCAGGCUUCUCAACCAGCUUCAUUCAUCAGAGUGAUCAUAUUGAUCACCCCGAUGUAUGCGCCGCUCUUGGUCUAUGGCCCGUUGAUUUACAUCAGCAAAAUUCCAUGCUCAUAUUCAUCUGCACACUUUAUAUUUAUAAUAUUACAACUCUUAUUCGGUAGGUCAGCUUAGCUCAGGAGGUAGAGCAUUUGUCUUGUAACCGAAAGGUUGCUAGUUCUAGAUCCCCAGCUCCUCCUAGCUGAGUGUUGAUGUGUCCCUGAGCAAGACACUUAACCCUAAAGAGGAGCUGGCUGACGCCUUGCAUGGUUCACUCUGCCGUCGGUCUGUCAAUGUCUGUAUUAACUGACGUAAGUCGCUUUGGAUAAAAGCGUCUGCUAAAUGCCCUAAAUGUAAAUGUGAAUGUUAUUCACUCGUCCGUAAUCCCCGUCUCUGUAAUGACUUUCUUUCGGUUCGGCCAUUCUUGUUGCUAUUUAUGCCAUAAUUUAUUACCCUUUUUUACCCUGUGCAUGGGAUAAAUAAAACACCUUGACAAUUCAGAAUGUACACUUUUGCCUGGUCCCAUACUGUACAGCCUACUCAAGGCAACAUUAGCUCAGAGCAGAUGGCACAAAGCCUGAGAAUCUCCCCUUGGGAAAUGGGUGAAACCAUCCAGGCUCUUUAGCAAAGGAAAAAAAGGGUUAUGCUGAGCAAACCCGUUCAGAAGCCCACUAACGCAAAUAUAUAGUGAUGUAUAAGCAUGCAAUUGUAUCAGCACAUAAAAAAGUGUAUCAGGAGUCUUCCUGGCUUAUACAAAAUGGACACCUUCCACUCCUUGUGGAGAGAGAGGUGUCCCUAGCUAUUCAAGUCACGUCCUCCCAUCACAACAAAUCACCACAGUGGCAGAAAGGAGAAAGGGAUGAGAUAAACCUAGAUUCUCUCCUCAACUCCCUGCAUCCAUCCUUCCUUCACUAUAUUGAGAUUGCCAUGCCAAUUCAGCUGCCCCGCCUAAAGGCACAUUUCAAUAAGCCUGAAACAAUUUCAGAAAUUUAAUCAAUGGGUUUAUUCAUUCUACAGUGGGUGGAAAUGUAUAUUUUGCUAACUGAUUAAUGUCUUGCCAUGGUUUCAUUUGAAACGUCAUUAAACGGCGUAGUAUGGCAGAGUGAGCACAAACUGUUGGUAUUUAGUCAAGCAAAUGCAGUCUGUUCCCAACAGGCUGUGUGUGUGUGUGUGUGUGUGUGUGUGUGUGUGUGUGUGUGUGUGUGUGUGUGUGUGUGUUAACUAAACUAAUCUCUUUUUCCAUUUCUUACCCUAGUUCUCAUUGUUUUGGUGCUAUAUGAACACUAAAUGAACCCUUCAGAACGGAUGGUUCCAUCAAAGUAUGACUCCAACUAAACUUCAGUAAGAAUCAUUCUAUAAACAGGACUUAAUUUAGAUAGAAAAAGGGAAUUUUUUCUUCCUUAAAUAAACAAACCAAAUAUAAUGCCACAAAAUCAUGGAGAAUUCACUACAUUUCCAAAGGUAGGUGCAAUACGCAGACUGAAUGAGAUUCAUCAACAAUCAAAAGCACAUGCUUCGUGUUUCUGACAUCGUGGUCAGUCCUACCCCAGCAGGUCUCACUGGGAUCGCUGAUGACCGCAUUAGAAGAAACCUUGAUACCUGGAACCACUCCCACUCGGCUGUCGUGAACAUUUCAAAUAGUCUGGAGCGAUUUGUGGGUGCAUCUUGAGAAGCUGUUAAUAUAUCUGCCAAAAUGGUGUGGCUUGUUUACGCUUGUUUACAGGAACCAAAAAAGUUUGGUUCCUGUUGGUUAUCAGUUGAGGUCAUGGGUAGGUAGGGAAUUUAUUUUAUUUAAUUUUUUCCAGCGGCAGCGAAUGAUAGGUAGGUUGUUUUCAUUUAAAAGCGAGAAAAUUCGCUCAUCCUUGUAUGGAAUGAAGAGGUGCUGUACCCAAACGUAACGUAAUUAUAGUUUGCAUCAAAAACAUUUUUUUUUUUUUUAAAGCUCAUCAAAUAAUUUGGGUCGCACAUAAAUUGACAGGGUCGGUCGGAAACCGGAACAAAACAAUUUAUUUUUAGGCCUUAUGUAUUUUUGUAUAAUGCACAGUCUAGACUUAUUUUUUUAUCAGAGUAAUGAAUGGUGCUUCAACAAGUAUUAUUACCCCAUAACAGUCACUGACCAACACAUUCUCAAUGAGACCGUUGAAAGAACACUCCUUUGACACUUUCUACGGAAAAAUUAUUACAUAAAGGCAAUUAAGCAUCUUGUUGCUUCCUACUUCUUGCAUAAAGCUUUAAUAUGGUACAGGUGUAUAUCUAAAGGAGUACUACGGUGUACCUACCAGUCAGUGUUUACUAGUCAGUGUGUGAGUGCGUUCAUGCAAGCGUGCAUAAAAAAGUAGCCUGUUUGUCAUGUUUGUACGUUAUUGGGUUCUCUUCCAGAGUAAAAAUUGGCUGCCUGUGCAAGAAAUUUGAAUCCCUUAAUGACCUUGAUACCAGCUUAUAACAAUGUAGUACUAGCGUAAUAUUUUUUACCCCACAGAAUGGAGAGCGCAACAUUUCAACCAACUCUUUCUUCACAAAAUGCAAAAGGGUCACAACAAAGUGGACUGGCCUGACGAAUCAGAAGUGACGAUGCAAAAUAUUUUGAGGUCACCACUGAUGUGUAAUAGGGAUGCUGCAUUAUGUGUUUUCGAUUUCACCUUUUCAA
ensembl:lncRNA